rnacentral:rRNA from 1 species
AGUUUGAUUCUGGCUCAGGAUGAACGCUGGCGGCGUGCUUAAUACAUGCAAGUCGAACGAAGAUUUUUCGCCGAAGUUUACUUCAUUGAAAAAUCUUAGUGGCGGACGGGUGAGUAACGCGUGGGUAACCUGCCUUACACAGGGGGAUAACAGUUAGAAAUGACUGCUAAUACCGCAUAAGCGCACAGAAUCGCAUGAUUCAGUGUGAAAAACUCCGGUGGUGUAAGAUGGACCCGCGUCUGAUUAGCUAGUUGGUGAGGUAACGGCCCACCAAGGCGACGAUCAGUAGCCGGCCUGAGAGGGUGAACGGCCACAUUGGGACUGAGACACGGCCCAAACUCCUACGGGAGGCAGCAGUAGGGAAUAUUGGACAAUGGGGGAAACCCUGAUCCAAGCGACGCCGCGUGAGUGAAGAAGUAUUUCGGUACGUAAAGCUCUAUCAGCAGGGAAGAAAAUGACGGUACCUGACUAAGAAGCACCGGCUAAAUACGUGCCAGCAGCCGC